rnacentral:rRNA from 1 species
UACGUAGGGUCCGAGCGUUGUCCGGAAUUACUGGGCGUAAAGAGCUCGUAGGUGGCUUGUCGCGUCGUUCGUGAAAACUCACAGCUUAACUGUGGGCGUGCGGGCGAUACGGGCAGGCUGGAGUACUGCAGGGGAGACUGGAAUUCCUGGUGUAGCGGUGGAAUGCGCAGAUAUCAGGAGGAACACCGGUGGCGAAGGCGGGUCUCUGGGCAGUAACUGACGCUGAGGAGCGAAAGCGUGGGGAGCGAACAGG